GGGCAAAAAAGCCCAAUUUCCUCAACACCACCGUGAUUCCCUAAUCUCAGCAAUGCCCAGAGACACCUCACGCUCAUAACAAGAAACAAAACAAAAAACGUGUUCAUGUCAAGAAAUGGAAAGCUCUCACUGUCGGCGUCGGAAUCCCCAUCGCGAGUAACUUGAAUCCCUCCGUGUAAGAAUCGCGCGCUGCUUCUUGUCGUUGAUUCAUUCUUCCAUUUCGUCGCGGUUUUACAAUGGUGUUUUAUUGAUGUCGAAUCAAGAUGAAGAUAGUUGAAUUGUUGUUCGUGCAUUGCGUUUGUGAUGUAGAAUGAAGAUGAAGACGUUGAUCAAAUCGUUAUGAUUUGGUUCAGAAGUUAUGGUUCUUUGUUAUGGAAUUGCAUUGGAAUUAGCUUGUUGAAAGUUGCUUGAAUUCAUUGGUUGGAAUCAUUUGGAUGCUUGUUGGACUAUGGCUUACUUGGAUGUUUGGGAUCUAUUAUUGUAAAUAUUGUAACAUGAUUUGUUGUAUGUAGGAUUUAGUUGCUCUUGUAAACGGAUUUGAAAAUGAGUUAUGUAAUGGUUGAAUGGUUUAUGUAUGAAUGAAUGCAUUUUGGAAAUUGAAUAAAUAGAAAUGUUGAAUUGAAAA